rnacentral:rRNA from 1 species
ACCUACGGGGGGCAGCAGUAGGGAAUUUUCGUCAAUGGGCGCAAGCCUGAACGAGCAAUGCCGCGUGAACGAGGAAGGUCUUCGGAUCGUAAAGUUCUGUUGAAGGGGAAAAAGAGCGGAGAGAGGAAAUGGUCUCCGAUUGAUAUUACCCUUCGAGGAAGUCACGGCUAACUACGUGCCAGCAGUCGCGGUAAUACGUAGGUGGCGAGCGUUAUCCGGAAUGAUUGGGCGUAAAGGGUGCGUAGGCGGCCUGCUAAGUCUGGAGUGAAAGGUACCGGCUCAACCGGUACAGGCUCUGGAAACUG